GAGUUUGAUCGUGGCUCAGGAUGAACGCUGGCGGCGUGCCUAAUACAUGCAAGUCGUACGAACAGCGGAAAGUGCUUGCACUUUCCAAGUAAGUGGCGAACGGGUGAGUAACACGUGAAUAACCUACCUCAAAGUCUGGGGAUAACCAUUGGAAACAGUGACUAAUACCGGAUAAAACCUAGUAGCACAUGCUACAAGGUUAAAAGCUGCGUUUGCAGCGCUUUAAGAUGGAUUCGCGGUGC
rnacentral:rRNA from 1 species